GGAGAGAUGGCUGAGUGGUCGAAAGCGGCUGAUUUGAAAUCAGUUGAACUUAAUUGUUCCGGGGGUUCGAAUCCCUCUCUCUCCU
rnacentral:tRNA from 1 species